rnacentral:lncRNA from 10 species
UUUUUGUUUAUUAUUCGGGUCUAGGAACCCACUUAUCUAAUGUAGACAUCAUACUCACCUUCUAAAUAAAAGAUCUCUUUCGGUAAGUAACAUUUCUAUUGGCAGCAAACCACCAGCUGCAAUAUUUGUAAAGAAAUCUUUAGUUGUGUAUUUUUAAGUUGAAGUGGCUUUUUCAAGAUUUUAAAGGAAGUUUUCCUAUUCUUACAGUAAAGAUAUGCAAAUCAUCUGAAGAUCUAAAAAGCAUCCUUCAAAUAAUGUUAGAUUGCUUGCAUUACCUGCUAGCUUAGAAGUUUCCUGAAGGAAAGAACCAUCCCUUUUUCAUUAUUGUAUCUUCAGUACUGGGUAUAGUGCCCGUUACAUAAUAACCACCUAAUAGGCAUUUGUUGAGUGACUCAUGGAUGGACAAAUGAAGAGCUCUUUCUCUAAGGUGACUCCACUGUAGCAAAGCACCAUAGAAUUUAAUUUCUCCAUUUUCAGGUAGCAGUUUUGGUCCUGGGUAUAGAGUCAUACAAAGGUUUCAGAUGCAAUUUAUCAGGACAUCUGCUGUUUCCUCCCUUACCUCAACCUCAACUAUAAAAUCCCCAUUUUCUUGGGGAAACAUUUACAUAAGAUGAUAAUGGCCAGCAGCAGAAUCUAUUUGAAAAGCAAAUUGUAGAGUACUGAAUGAGCUCAGCUUUUGUUCAUUUCUUUCUUUACCUUAUCUCUAUGCUUUUAUAUACACAAAACAUACCAGACAUCUUCAGGUAAAAAGCUCUUCACAGUAUUUUAUUUGCCUCGGAAAUCACAAUGAUAUGGACUUUUAAAAGAGAAAGCAUGUCUUUUUUUAGAUAUCAGGACAAUGGCAUCUUGGUAUUCCAGGGUUUAUCACAUGCCUGUUAAACAGUAGGUGCUUAUUAAAUAUUACUCAAAAUGAGACAGUAAACAGAUACAUCAAUAAGUAUGUUCUACUUGGAGUAAAUCUGGCUUUUUGUUUUUUUGAUACAGAGUCUUGCUCUGUUGCCCAGGCCAGAGUGCAGUGGCACAAUCAUGGCUCACUGCAACCUCCGCCUCCCAGGUUCAAGCGAUUCUUUUGUCUCAGCCUCCUGACAAGCUGGGACUAUAGACAUGCACACUAUACCCGGCUAAUUUUUGUAUUUUUUGUAGAAAUGGGGUUUCACCAUGUUGGCCAGGCUGGUCUUGAACUCUUGACCCCAGGCAAUCCACCUGCCUUGCCCUGCCAAAGUGCUGGGAUUACCGGCAUCAGCCAUCAUGCCCAGCCGGUGUUUAUUAAAUAUUAGUCAAAAUGAGAUAGUAAACAAAUACGUCAAUAGGUAUGUUCUACUUUGAGUAAACCUGACAUUUGUUUCUUAUACCAUAAUCUCAGUUCACAAUCACUUAGAGAAUCCCAUCUACUGGGAUUAAGUCCAUCUGCAGCAGCUUUAAAAUAAAAGACACUUAAGGCUACUUUUUUCUAUGGAGUUAAAGUUAUAAUUUUAGAAACAAACAAAAUAGUUUCCCAUUUGUUCUAGGACAGGUUUCUCCUGAUUUUGCAUCUUUUCACAAGGAUCUCUUGUUUUGUCAAAUGAAUGUGGGCCACAAAAAAGCCCACAGCUUUUCAGAGGCAGCAUAAUGGAUACGUCUUCCUAGAACCUUAUGAAACCACUAUGCUGAGCUCCUGCAAAAUACUACACCCGUUCUUGAGCUUAAACUAAACAAUAGAGAUAUUUAGUCAACACCCAGGAAGGGAGGGUCUUAGAGCACUGAGGAGAAAAAUGAAUUGGUUAGCAGUUUCACAUGAUAUUGUCAGCUUCUUCAAUGUAGACAAAAUUGGUAACUAAAGAACAGGUUAAUUUUUUUGUUUGUUUGUUUGUUUUGAGACAGAGUCUCACUCUGUCACCCAGGCUGGAGUGCAGUGGUGCAGUCAUGACUCACUGUAAUCUCUGCCUCACAGGCUCAAGUGAUUCUCCCAGUUCAACCUCCUGUGUAGCUGGGACCACAGGUGUGCACCACCAUGCUUGGCUAAUUUUUUUUUUUAUUUUUUAUAGAGAUGGGGCUUUACUAUGUUGCCCAGGUUGCUCUCGAAUUCCCGUGCUCAAGCAAUCCUCCCACCUUGGCCUCCCAAAUUGCUGGGAUUCUAAGCAUAAGCCACCACACCCGGCCCAGGUCUUUUGGAAAAAAUCAAUCUCGAAUCAAGCUCUAUAUACUUAGCCAUGGAUCUCCAACUUUAAAUCUAUGCUGCAGUAUAAGAUUCUUCCAUGAUGACUUCUUAGCUGUCUCUAGCUUGUUUCCUGACCUUUGCCCAUGCGUAUGUGAUUCUGCUCACAUGGAAUGCCUUCUCACCUUCUAAAAUGCCACCCACUUUUCUAGUUCCAAAUCAAGUAUAUUCCCUUGGUGAGAUCUUCUGCAACCAACAUAUUAAGAAGUGACCUGUCCCUCCUCUCAACUCAUUGUAGCAUGACCUUUUAUAUUACUUAUUUUGUCUAGAAAUGUUCCAAGUCAUUUUCUGUUAUAAUUAUCCCCCUUACAGGUUCACAGCCAGAUUACGGUAAUUAGAAUUGUAGGCUCUGUAUGCAGAACCCUGUUUAAACUGAGGUUGCCGUCUCCAAAUUGAUUUGCAAAUGUUGUUAUCUAUAGCUUGCAGCCAUUAUGAAUGACCUGCCCACAAAAGCUCAUCAAACUUACACCAAAUCUGAAGUAUAGUAUCAAUAGCACCCCUUGCAGAAUUAUUUUUAUUUUUCUGAGAAAAAUGCAUUUUCUCAGAAAAUAUAAUAUGCAAUUUUGCUGUACUUCUAUGCUGCCAACAUCAAGCUGAUCAAAAGUAUGUAGGUGAUCAAAAAUGCUUAAAUGGUUGCUGGUGAUAAAAUAUUCUAUUUAGUCCCACAAAUUGGUUGAUGGCUUCCUAAGGAAUCCACAGAAGUAAUCCUCACGCUAUGUUUUCCAAAUUCAGCAGCUUCUGUGAAACCUCACAGGAACUUCAAAUGAUACAUGGUUUCUAGCUGUCAAGAAAACCCUGUCUGGGGCAGGGGCAUGGUGCGGAGGAGACAGGUGUUGACUACAUAGUGCCACACAGCACUGUCUUGCCGUGAUUUCCCGGAGAUUUUAUUGAAGGGGCUUGGGCUUGCUUCAAGUCAUUAAAUUGAGUCAAUUUGUUGCUUUGUUUUGGCUAAAUUUAUAAAAGCACAAAAGUUUAAGGUAAGAUAAUACUAUUUGGCCUUUUUAUCAUCUUUUUUUUUUUUUUUUUUUUUUUUAAAUUUUUGAGACAGAGUCUCACUCUGUUGCCCAGGCUGGAGUGCAAUGGCAAAAUCUCGGCUCACUGCAAUUUCUGCCUCCUGGGUUCAAGCGAUUCUCCUGCCUCAGCCUCCCAAGUAGCUGGGAUUAUAGGUGCGCACUGCCACACCUGGUUAAUUUUUGUAUUUUAAUACAGACGGGGUUUCACCAUAUUGGCCAGGCCGGUGUUGAACUCCUGACCUCAGGCAAUCUGCCCACCUCAGCCUCCCAUUCAGCAUCUUUUUUUUCUUUUUUAAACACUGCUACUCUACAAAAGCAUUUGGUAAAGAAGGCAGUUAAAGAUAAAGCAGA